rnacentral:misc_RNA from 1 species
AAGUCGUAACAAGGUAACCGUAGGUGAACCUGCGGUUGGAUCAUUACCAAUCCCAACCCCCCCCCAGGAGCGGGGGUGGUGAGUGGGUGGUGGGUUGCUUGCAACUUUCCCCCGCCGCCGCCUUCCUCCUACACCCCAUGUGCAACUUUCCUGUACUUGGCGGGCGCCUCCCCCCUUUCCAAGGCCGGGGGGGCCUCGCGGGUCGUGUCGUGCGCGGCAAACUUGCCACGCCGCACGCCUGACCGCCAGCCACCUUACAACACUUGCAACUUUUAUACUUACCUACUUACUCACAAAGUGGCAAGUGCCGUCUUCUCCCCCUCCUCUCCUUACACGGGAGGCCAAGGGCAGCAAGACAGCACACUGCCCAGCCAAUUGAGAAACAACUUUUGACAACGGAUCUCUUGGCUCUC